rnacentral:misc_RNA from 1 species
GGAUGGUGGCGCGCACACUGCCAGGCAAGCAGUACGAGGUGGGACGACGGUUGCGCGUGCUGGUGGUCCGGGAGCUCCGCCGGGCCGGCAUCGUGUCGCCUGCUGACGGGCAGUCCCCGAUGGUCGCCGCGAUUCCACAUCCAGCGGAGGCGGCCAACGGCGAGGACGAGACUCAGGGCGCGCCGGAGCAGAAGCAGUGACUUCGUGGUUCAAGGCCAGACUCGGCCGCAUCCGGGUCUCGACGGCCGUGCUCAUCGUCGUGUUCAUCGCGUUGUUCUGGGUGCAGCAGACCUUCACGCCGGAGCCGGCCCCCGAGGCGCCUGCCCCGGCGGUCGUCCCGCCCGGUUUCGUGCCCGACCCGAACUACACCUGGGUCCCGCGAACGUACGUCCGGCGGCCGAGGGAGCCGGAGACCACCACCCCGACCACCACCACGACGAGCCCGACCGAGACGACGACGCCGCCGGAGGACACCACCAGCCCGACGUCGCCCACCGAGCCCACCCCGACGACGAUGGUGAUCGAUCCGGAUGGUCCGGGUGGACCGCUGGGGGAACAGACCUUGACCCAGACACCGGCCGAUACGACGCCCACUACGACCGCCACCGCCCCGGCCGCGCCGGGAACGGUGCCCGCCACGCCCGAUGCGCCGAGAUAGCCCGACCGGCGUCAGGCCGGUUGCACCGCUAGACUGGCGUCCCGUGAUGAUCGCGCUCGACCACGUCAGCAAGCAGUACAAGUCCUCGGCCCGACCCGCGCUGGACAAUGUCUCGGUCAACAUCGACAAGGGUGAGUUCGUCUUCCUCAUCGGCCCCUCCGGCUCGGGCAAGUCGACCUUCAUGCGGCUGUUGCUGGCCGAGGAGUCACCGACCAGCGGCGACGUGCGUGUGU